AAUCGGCGUACAACACCGGGGACUUGUCCCCACCGUGGUGCCGAGGGAAGCAAGCCUCAGUAACAGCAGCCUUUUCGGGGCUGGAAAACUGAAAAAUAGAGUGUCGGGUAGGGUUUGGUAGGCCGGAAACGGUUCGAAGAAGCCGGGCCCG
ncrna:unclassified sequences RT-3 RNA